GAUGAACGCUGGCGGCGUGCUUAACACAUGCAAGUCGAACGGAAAGGCCCAAGCUUGCUUGGGUACUCGAGUGGCGAACGGGUGAGUAACACGUGGGUGAUCUGCCCUGCACUUCGGGAUAAGCCUGGGAAACUGGGUCUAAUACCGGAUAGGACGAUGGUUUCGAUGCCAUUGUGGAAAGUUUUUUCGGUGUGGGAUGAGCUCGCGGCCUAUCAGCUUAUUGGUGGGGUAAUGGCCUACCAAGGCGUCGACGGGUAGCCGGCCUGAGAGGGUGUACGGCCACAUUGGGACUGAGAUACGGCCCAGACUCCUACGGGAGGCAGCAGUGGGGAAUAUUGCACAAUGGGCGCAAGCCUGAUGCAGCGACGCCGCGUGGGGGAUGACGGCCUUCGGGUUGUAAACUCCUUUCGCUAGGGACGAAGCGUUUUUGUGACGGUACCUGGAGAAGAAGCACCGGCUAACUACGUG
rnacentral:rRNA from 1 species